AGUGGAGCGACUCCGCCCCGCAUGCUGGCAAAAUGAAAUGAAAAUACACCCGCAAAGCCCCCAAGCUAGUUCAAAACGCCCUGCUAAAUAAUUCAAGUGACCUGAGGUGCCUUCUGCUGGGGAACAGAAGGGAGGGGGCGUGUUGGAGUGGGCAGGCAGGGAGCCCUGCGGAGAGUGCUGGGAUGCACCUAUUAAAUGUACAACCAUCUGAUGACUAAAAUUUUAGAUUUUAUAGAGAUACAUAACAUAUUUUUGCAUUGCAGCUUGGGCGAUUACUUCGCACCCCGUAAGCAGCGGCUCAGCACGGAGGCCUGCAGCCACAGGGCAAGUGGCCGUGACCCUGUGAGACCUCCACGGCCCCUGGAGCCUGCAGCUCAGGCUUCCUCAUGGCAAGCCUCGAGGGAGGGGAAGGCCCGAGGGAAAAGGAUGUCAAAGUCCCACUGCCCAGUGUCAUCACAUUCAAAUCCCACAGUGACCUGUAGAGAGGGAAGUGAGAGAUGCUGAGAACAAGAGUUCAGAGGAGAACAUAGAGAACUUGCAGAAAAGAAGGGGAUAAGGCAAGUGCUUUCUUUGAACUACCUCUACCAAGGGCAUAAACAGAAAAGGGAUCAGAAAUAGUUUAAAUGAAGGGUGCUUGAAGAGACAUGGACACUAAAGAGAUGCAGGAUUCUUGCCUGCCAAAUCAUACAUGUCAUCUUGAUAGUCUUUUUGAAGGUAGAGUAAAGAAGAUUUGGGUUCUCUGUAUGAAUUUUGACCCCAAAGGUCAAAAAACUUGUUUUUUUUGCAAGGAAUAGGGAAGUAAUGCUGUACGUGACUCAUGUCAUCCCAGUACAGAGGUAAGGAAAGACUCAUCCCAGUACAGAGGUAAGGAAAUGUGUGAAAGACCUUGCGCAAAUAUAGAUACUAAAGUCACAUUACCCAUGUUACCAUGUUUUCCCACGUUCCCGUCUCCCUAGCAGCAGCCCAAGCCCUAACACAGCUAUGUUACCAUGAACUGUGUGGUCAUACCUACAUCAUAAAGUAAAGCAGCCAUAUCAAAUGUCAUCGUAUUUGUACUUCACUCAGAGGUCUGCAGUGGCCUGGAGCUGCAGUCCAUCAUGAGGUGAGUGGACUCUGUGACCAACCUAGGCUGUGUGCUUAAGAAAAAGGGCUGUAAACACAAAAAUUGCAGGGUAGGAAGGAUGCACAGAGGCAAGGGUCAGAGGAUUGUGGUAUUAGGGCCCUGCUGUGGAGUCAUGAAAGGGGGCACAAGGACUACAAAUAUAUUAGCCAAAACUGAAUUCUCUAACAUAGUAGUACUUUUUUUUCAGUACUAUUUGUGUAGCUUUCACUACUAGGGAAAAAUAUCAGAAAAGCUGUUUGGGCUACACAAAAUUUGUGGAAUUAUUUGAGAAACCAUUAAAUGAAGUUUGAAUGAUUUAUUUCUGUAUUGGAACAAGAAUCGCCAGCUGUGCUUUAACAGUUGCAAAGCUGCCAGUGGAGGAGUAUGAUUUAUACAUUGCUGAAUUACAUUGCUUUUAAUUUUAAAGGUCUAUUGUCAGUAUUCGUUUGAACUUCUGACUUUAUCUGGUACAGACAGCUUGGGCUGAGCAGAUGCUUCAGAUGAAAAAGAAAAAUGCCCAUAAUUAAACCCAAUAGAUAAAAAGAAAUUGUGCAUCAGGGAAACUGUUUCCUGAGUCCUGUGAAUUACUGACUGAAGCAUGUGGUUUGAUUACAGUUAUUGCCUUAAUGCAGAGUUUCAAGUCUUAAAGGCCUCAUGAGGACAAUGCAGGAAACCUGUUCUAUCUGCUGUGUAUGAAGGAAGGGGUAUGUGAACUGCUGUA